rnacentral:lncRNA from 1 species
GCAAAGAGAAAACACAGCACACGGAUCCAUCACGCGGAUCGAUGACGUGGCAGCAAUUCACCACCGCGCGCUGCUCCUGUGCAUGAUCCAACUCCACCUCCACCUCUUAUCCUCUUCUCUCUCUCUCUCUCCAUUAUCCUCUUCUCUCUCUCUCUCUCCAUUAUCCUCUUCUCUCUCUCCCGUCCCCCACGCCUCUCCUUGUUCCCAGCCUCUUCUCUCUCUCUCUCUCCCUUAUCCUCUUCUCUCUCUCCCGUCCCCCACGCCUCUCCUUGUUCCCAGCCAAGAUCCACCUCCACCUACCGCCGUUCCCCAAGCCGCUGACGAGCACCAGGUCAAGCUCCGCCGCCCCUACCUCCUUCUCCUUCCUCCUUCCUGUCUUCCUCGUUCUCUAUCUCUCCCCCAUACCUCACCCCUUGCCCUCUCCCUCUGAGGCAGCCAACGCCAUGGACGGCUGCGGAGCUUCGCGCCACCCGACGUCAACCGCAUCGCCGCCCCAAGGGAUCCGUGCGCGUGGCCGCGUUGAGCCGCACAUGCGCUAGAUCCAUCCGCCGGUGUGUGCCACCGUAGCAACAGGUUCGGCAAUGACUCUCGGCCCUGCCGCUUCAUUGCUCCUUCCCAAGCCGGCCUCCACUUUCUGACCCCGCCACCGGCGAGCUGUCAUGCCCGUCCUCGUCGCACUGGUGCUGUCCUCCAGUAUGCUUGCUGGCUGCGACCAGAGCCCUGUAUAUAUUUGGUUCGGUUGCAGUGCUGCUACUUCCCGGUGGAUCUAGGCUGCCCAGGCUAGCAACGUGUGUGUUGCUUUCUUGAUGGGUUUUAAGUGGAUCUUAAUUUGAUGUAUCCUGGCACUUGUCCGUGUGUAAAUCUGAUGUGUAGAACACUUAGAAGUUGCUACUCGUAGGAUAUUCUUGCUCGUAUGUGUACACAUGAAGAAUGGCUAGCUUGUAGAUCCGUUUUCUUUUUGUUAAAGAAAUAUACAUUCAUUUUUAUUGGAUCUGUAUUGCAAAUCUCUGUAGUGACGCCAUCGUCCUCUUUUGCUCUAACCACGUUGUACACACGACGCCGAUGCGACCACUGAAGCAGCAGUGCCCGCCCUACGAAAGCUUGGAAUGACGUUAUUUUCAAAAAAAAAACUUUAAAAUAAUCUUUGCCGUCUUUAGUUUAGUCUGGAUGACGGCAAAGAAAAUGUUUUGACUAACGGCAAAGACCGCAUUCUUUGCCGUCUGUUAUUUAUAAGGCUGACGGCGAAGUAGAUUUGGCUGAUGGCAAAGUCUUUGCCGUCUUCCCGAUAAAAAGCUGACAGCAAAGUAUUCUUUGCCGACUUAUCUUUGCCGUCUGAGUUUGCCGUCUGCUUCCUGACGGCAAAAUCUUUGCCGUCUGGAUUUCGGUCUUUGUCGUCUGUAAUCCACAGACGGCAAAUUACCUGUUUCCUGUAGUGUGUCCCCAUUUGGGCCCGUUUUUGUUUUGCCAUGACGGUGGUCGUUGGAUGUCCGGAGUGGCAUCAGGGCCACCAAUGACUUAUCCCAAAGGGGAGUUUGUCGGAAUGGCCGGGAGGAUGUCAUGGCCGUAGUUCGGUUUUGUCAGAAUGCCGUUGGUCCACCCGAAUGGGAGCACGAGGCCUUGGGUUCCGUGGUGUCGGUAUAGUGUGCUAACCUCUGCAGAGUGUGUAUAAUCUAUCGAUAGCCGCGCCCGCGGAUAUGGGCCCAGUUCAUAGUAGGUCACACUAUGGGUCAACAGUAAUAAUAACCUGUUUAAUAACAACCCAAUUCGAUGAUAAAAGAAGUGGUUGAUUCUUAUGUGAUCGCGAGAGGAUCACGGUGGUAUCGAGGAUACCGAAGAUGGUUGAGGUUUAUGGUAUUAUGCGAUAAUCAAGGGUAAAGAUCAAGCUCCUUGUCGUCAUGUAAUGAUUACUACGGUAUUUUUAAUACCAAGCUUCAUUUGAUCUUGAGGUGAUCGUGAGAUGACCAUGAUGGUAAGUGAUUCAUGUGGUGGUUACAAGGUAACCCCGAACAGAGUAAGUUGGUGCAUGAUAUUGUUAACAUGUUGCAUGCUAGUAUCAUCAUAUGUUCAUGCCAUGCUCAUCUGAUAUUGUUCUAGUGCUAUUUUGUUCAUGCCAUGUGUUUUGAUAGUACCAUGUUCAACAUUCCUAAGUAACCUGUAAAUGCCACACUGUUGUUUGCCCUGAUUGCUUUGGUUGCUGUGAGCUCGCAAGUACAUUCGAUGUACUGACCUGGCGUGUCAUGCCAAUUUGUAGGUUAUGCCUUGUCUGCUUGCUUGUUUGCCGAGGAUCUUGAGUUUGCGAGCUAGGAUAAGCGUUCCAGCCAGAGUCCCUGCGGAGUGGAGUCCAUCGUCGUCGAUCGCUGUUCCGCUGCUAGAUG